UAGCAGGUGGUUACUUCCAUCUUUCUCUGCCCAUUAUCCCCACAACUCAGUCUCCUAGAAACCUGGUAGUGCUCUCAAAUUCAGUUAAUGCUUGCAAUCAGUUGACGACGGUUCCCCACGCUCCCGUAAUUGUUGGUCUGAUGAAUCUGUUCUCACCCACCUAUAAAUCUGUCGUCGCAUCUCUACAAUAAUUAUGAAUUGCCAGAUCAAAAGGAAAAAAUAGGUGAAUGAAGAUAGUAGACACGUCCCUACGAUUGAAGGAGCGAGCAGGGUUCGAUUUAAUUGGUCUAGGGCCAUACACGUGAGCUCAAGAUGUUCUUCCAAUUGUUGUUACAAAAAUCACCCCUGGAUUGGUCAUGCUUAAGGUUUGAUUAGAAAUAUUUGAAACCUUGAGCAGAAGAAACCAAAAUAGCUUUCUCCAAAGUCAACGAAAUCGUUUCCUCAAAUCCCCUCCUCAUAUCCAGGUUUCCCCUCUUUCCAUUAUGAUUAUGAUUCAAUAUUUUAGAUUUUGUUUAUGUUGUUUUGGUUAUCCACUUUCGUUUAGCUUAUUCUGACCAACUUAGAUUUUGUGAGUAUGAUUGUGUUUAUACAUGAAUCACACUUGCUUGAUUUUAAUUGACUUGCUAAUUUAGCUUCUUUUAACAAUUUAAUGCUUGGGCAGAAUUUUCGUUUUGGUACAACAAUAUGGAGUCUCAAUGGUUAUUAUAUUUUUAAAAUGGUGUCUUUAUUUUUAAUUUUGAGUGUCCAACAAAAGCACAGUAUAAUCUUUUAAAGUUAAAUUGGUUUUAACUUCAAAAUAUUAGGGCCAUCUCAUGGCACAUCAUGAAUCUGGCAUGCAGAAUGGUGAACAAAAUGCCACCAUCUCUAUUAGGUUGUCCGGUUUGGAGUGGUGCCCUUUAUCACAUUUGCACAAUGGCGCCCCAAACACCACCUUACCAUAGCCAAAGAGGGCGCCACUGAAGUUAAAAGCGGAGCGAUGCGCGAGAGGGUGAGCAUGUGGGGCCAUUUGUUUUUUAUCCAAUCAUAAUUUAUUUUUCUUUAACUUCUUUUUUUGUUUUAGUUAAAAGCGGUUUUAUGCCACACCGUGCAAGUUAACAAUAAAUCCCCCCGCUUAUGUGUCGCCUACGUGUUGCCUAAACGGGUUUCGGUAAAUCUUGGGUUCGGGUUGAAAUGGUGGGUUGACCUGUUUUUUUUUCUUUAAAUUAUGUUAUAACUUAAAAUGACUACGUACAUUAUGCCAAAUUUAAGUAUUAAAACGGAAAUUUACAUUAUAUUUGGUUCAAAACAAUCAUUAAAUGGUUUUCAUCGGUUCUGGUAAUUAUAAAAGUCUCCAGCUUAGCUUCGUUACGAAGGUGGAAGCGAUUUGAUAUGGUUGGGCUAUUAUGACCAUAUAAACUUUUAUUUAGUUAUUUUAUGGGAAUCUAUUAUGAAAUUUUAAUCCUUCUGUGAUUGGUUAUUUAGACAAUUUAUUUCAGCAUUACAUUUUUUAUGAGAACUAUAAUGAGUGCAUUCAAAGGCUCGCUAGAACCGAACACAUCAUUAGGAGGUUUCCCUGGUAACAAUUACUAUAAAACGUGUAUUAUUAUAACUUAUUCGUGAACAUCGUCGAUAGGGAAAGCGAAGAAACUAAAAAAGUUGUGACGUGGGAGAAGGCCGCCUUCAUUCAGUUGAUAGAGGUGCCAGUACAAGAUCUACAGAUAAUUAUGGCCCUGGUACAGGUACGUGGACACU